rnacentral:rRNA from 1 species
CCCCAGAGCGGGGGAUAACAUUUGGAAACAGAUGCUAAUACCGCAUAACAACGAAAGCCACAUGGCUUUUGUUUGAAAGAUGGCUUUGGCUAUCACUCUGGGAUGGACCUGCGGUGCAUUAGCUAGUUGGUAAGGUAACGGCUUACCAAGGCGAUGAUGCAUAGCCGAGUUGAGAGACUGAUCGGCCACAAUGGAACUGAGACACGGUCCAUACUCCUACGGGAGGCAGCAGUAGGGAAUCUUCCACAAUGGGCGCAAGCCUGAUGGAGCAACACCGCGUGAGUGAAGAAGGGUUUCGGCUCGUAAAGCUCUGUUGUUGGAGAAGAACGUGCGUGAGAGUAACUGUUCACGCAGUGACGGUAUCCAACCAGAAAGUCACGGCUAACUACGUGCCAGCAGCCGCGGUAAUACGUAGGUGGCAAGCGUUAUCCGGAUUUAUUGGGCGUAAAGCGAGCGCAGGCGGUUGCUUAGG